UACGGGAGGCAGCAGUGGGGAAUAUUGCACAAUGGGGGGAACCCUGAUGCAGCGAUGCCGCGUGAAGGACGACGGUUUUCGGAUUGUAAACUUCUAUCAGCGAGGAAGAGAACGGACAGUACUCGAGUAAGCAGCCCCGGCUAACUACGUGCCAGCAGCCGCGGUAAU
rnacentral:rRNA from 1 species